GUAGGUCUCGUAGUGACCUGCGGAGGGAUCAUUACACAAAUAUGAAGGCGGGCUGGAAUCUCUCGGGGUUACAGCCUUGCUGAAUUAUUCACCCUUGUCUUUUGCGUACUUCUUGUUUCCUUGGUGGGUUCGCCCACCACUAGGACAAACAUAAACCUUUUGUAAUUGCAAUCAGCGUCAGUAACAAAUUAAUAAUUACAACUUUCAACAACGGAUCUCUUGGUUCUGGCAUCGAUGAAGAACGCAGCGAAAUGCGAUAAGUAGUGUGAAUUGCAGAAUUCAGUGAAUCAUCGAAUCUUUGAACGCACAUUGCGCCCUUUGGUAUUCCAAAGGGCAUGCCUGUUCGAGCGUCAUUUGUACCCUCAAGCUUUGCUUGGUGUUGGGCGUCUUGUCUCUAGCUUUGCUGGAGACUCGCCUUAAAGUAAUUGGCAGCCGGCCUACUGGUUUCGGAGCGCAGCACAAGUCGCACUCUCUAUCAGCAAAGGUCUAGCAUCCAUUAAGCCUUUUUUCAACUUUUGACCUCGGAUCAGGUAGGGAUACCCGCUGAACUUAAGCAUAUCAUAAGCCGGGGAGGAA
rnacentral:rRNA from 1 species